AGUCACUGGUGUUUUGAACACAAAAAGAGCUUUCAAAGUGAAAGAACCAAUUUGAAAAAGUUUCGGCACCACUGAUGGGCCAGGAGAAAAUGGGACUUUCCCAGUUGUGGAAUGGCAAGCGCUCCUUCGCCUUGAGGGCAGCAAUGAACAAGUAUGGAAAUUUAGAUGAACGAGUGAAAACGUGGAAAGAACCUGGGUCUUUGAGAAUGUGAUUAGACUUCUGAAUGAAUCAGUUCUGGAGUCUCCCUUAUUUGGAAUUCCUUGUGAUGAGAGACAAUAAAUCCUUUUACUUUUGAAACCAU